UAAUCUUUUCCUCCUGCUCUUCCUCCCUGCUCUGUUGUUAGUUGCUCUCAUUAUAUCAAAGAAGACAUUUGGCAUUUGUUUUUUAGGGAUUGGCUAGCUUCACUUAGCAUAAUCUUCUCUAAUGCCAUCCAUUUCCCUGCAAAUUCCAUGAUUUUGUCAUUUUUUAGUGCUGCGUAAUACUCCAUUGUGUAUAAAUGCCACAUUUUUUUUAUCCAUUCAUCUAUUGAAGGGCAUCUGGGUUGGUUCCACAGUCUAGCUAUU
rnacentral:lncRNA from 1 species